rnacentral:rRNA from 1 species
ACGUCCAUGGCAGGCUGAAUACACCGGUUCUCGUCCCAUCACCGAAGUUAAGCAGGACCGGGCGCGGUCAGUACUUGGAUGGGUGACCGCCUGGAAACACCGCAUGAUGUU